rnacentral:rRNA from 1 species
GGGGGACCUUCGGGCCUCUUGCCAUCGGAUGUGCCCAGAUGGGAUUAGCUAGUAGGUGGGGUAACGGCUCACCUAGGCGACGAUCCCUAGCUGGUCUGAGAGGAUGACCAGCCACACUGGAACUGAGACACGGUCCAGACUCCUACGGGAGGCAGCAGUGGGGAAUAUUGCACAAUGGGCGCAAGCCUGAUGCAGCCAUGCCGCGUGUAUGAAGAAGGCCUUCGGGUUGUAAAGUACUUUCAGCGGGGAGGAAGGGAGUAAAGUUAAUACCUUUGCUCAUUGACGUUACCCGCAGAAGAAGCUCCGGCUAACUCCGGCCAGCAGCCGCGGUAAUCCGGAG